rnacentral:rRNA from 1 species
GACGAACGCUGGCGGCGUGCUUAACACAUGCAAGUCGAACGGUGAAGCGCCUUCCUUUUUGGUGGGUGUGGAUGAGUGGCGAACGGGUGAGUAACACGUGAGUAACCUGCCCCCUUCUUCUGGAUAACCGCAUGAAAGUGUGGCUAAUACGGGAUAUUCUGUGUCUGUCGCAUGAUGGGUCUGGGAAAGAUAUUGUUUCGGUGGGGGAUGGGCUCGCGGCCUAUCAGCUUGUUGGUGGGGUGAUGGCCUACCAAGGCGGUGACGGGUAGCCGGCCUGAGAGGGUGGACGGUCACACUGGGACUGAGACACGGCCCAGACUCCUACGGGAGGCAGCAGUGGGGAAUAUUGCACAAUGGGCGCAAGCCUGAUGCAGCGACGCCGCGUGAGGGAUGGAGGCCUUCGGGUUGUGAACCUCUUUCGCAAGUGAAGCAGGCCUGCCUCGUUUGUGGGUGGGUUGACGGUAGCUGGAUAAGAAGCGCCGGCUAACUACGUG